CCUACGGGUGGCAGCAGUGGGGGAUAUUGCACAAUGGGGGAAACCCUGAUGCAGCAACGCCGCGUGAGUGAAGAAGUAUUUCGGUAUGUAAAGCUCUAUCAGCAGGGAAGAGAAUGACGGUACCUGACUAAGAAGCCCCGGCUAACUACGUGCCAGCAGCCGCGGUAAUACGUAGGGGGCGAGCGUUGUCCGGAUGUACUGGGUGUAAAGGGAGCGUAGACGGCUGGUCAAGUCUGAAGUGAAAGCCCGGGGCUUAACCCCGGAACGGCUUUGGAAACUGAGCAGCUAGAGUGCAGGAGAGGUAAGCGGAAUUCCUAGUGUAGCGGUGAAAUGCGUAGAUAUUAGGAGGAACACCAGUGGCGAAGGCGGCUUACUGGACAGUAACUGACGUUGAGGCUCGAAAGCGUGGGGAGCAAACAGGAUUAGAUACCCGUGUAGUC
rnacentral:rRNA from 1 species